CUGCGGGCCACAGACGCACACACACACACAGAGAAGGGGAGGGGGGGGAAAAACACAGAAAGAAAUAAAAUGAACAAAAAAACACGGCAAAACACGGACAGAGAGACAAUAAAAGUCGAGCCGGGGCACGAGGGAAGGCCGCCCCUCCCGCCCCCCCUCCCAAUCCCCCCGCCCCCUGCCCCAGCGGGGCAGCCCUGCCUGAGGGGCGGCCGACUGCACGUACCUGACCACAUCACCUGCUGCCCCCCGGGCUGGAGCUUAAAACUCCUAUCCACACUUUAAAAGUCGUAUCCGUCAGGGGUUUUUGGUUGUUUGGUUGGUUGGUUGGUUUGGUUUGGUUUGGUUUGGUUAGUUUUUUGUUUUGGUUUUCUUUUGUUUGUUUGUUUGUUUUGUUGUUGUUAUUGUUUUGGUUUGCUUGGUUUCUUUAAGGUUUUGGAGUUGGAGAGAGCCCCUGGUGUGUGAGACACUUUGUGCUGUGACAUGGGCUCUCACUGCCAGUGAGGCCAGGUGUUGAAGCCAGGCUGCAUCUUACCAAGGGUAACCCUCACCCGACGAGGAUUUGGCCUUCAGAGAUCAAGAGCUGAUUUAAAACGGGUGUAUUCAUGCUAGUGUGAAUAGAAGAGCUGCCAGAAAUACAGAACAUUCAAGGAGAUACUUUUAAAGAAGGAGCCUGGUAUGAAAAUCACUCAAGGAAGGAUUGAUGUACCUUAAUUUGGAGGGAAUAUCAUCAAUGGAUGACACAAGCUGGAUAAGUGUUAACAGUUGCACUGAACCAAGCAGUUAACAAAACUGAUGUGAUUAAUAAUAAUAGACAACUACUUGCAUGACUUUGAGACUUUAGAGCUGUGAGUUCCUAAAGGAGUCAAGGUGAGGAGAUACUGGAUAAGGAAAUGGGAACUCCUGAAAAUGGUUAUUUUUCUAGUCUUGCUGUCAAGUCUAGGAAAACCCUGCAGUGUUCUCACCAUAAUGUGAAAAAUAAAGUGG